rnacentral:rRNA from 1 species
CCUACGGGUGGCAGCAGUGGGGAAUAUUGCACAAUGGGGGAAACCCUGAUGCAGCGACGCCGCGUGAGUGAAGAAGCACCUCGGCGCGUAAAGCUCUAUCAGCAGGGAAGAAAAUGACGGUACCUGAAGAAGAAGCCCCGGCUAACUACGUGCCAGCAGCCGCGGUAAUACGUAGGGGGCAAGCGUUAUCCGGAUUUACUGGGUGUAAAGGGGGCGUAGACGGCGGUGCAAGCCAGGAGUGAAAUCCCGGGGCGCAACCCUGGAACUGCUUUGGAAACUGGGUGGCUAGAGUGCAGGAGGGGUAGGCGGAAUUCCUGGUGUAGCGGUGAAAUGCGUAGAUAUCAGGAGGAACACCGGUGGCGAAGGCGGCUUACUGGACUGCAACUGACGUUGAGGCCCGAAAGCGUGGGGAGCAAACAGGAUUAGAUACCCCUGUAGUC